rnacentral:tRNA from 1 species
AAAGGGAGACCUAAUUCAGGUAGGAGACGAAAAAAAGUAGUCCCUACCAAGAAUCAAUCCCAAAAGGUCGGAGCGAGGCAAAAUUGGCUUUCAAACUAGGUUCUGGGUUCACAUAAGACCUGAAUCAGGAACAAGGGCUAUUAGCUCAGGUGGUUAGAGCGCACCCCUGAUAAGGGUGAGGUCCCUGGUUCGAGUCCAGGAUGGCCCACCUGCACAGGUGGCAAAAACAAAGAAAAGAAGCUCCGAAUCAGCACCUUAUCUUACUCAUAUAGUAAGAGAGAAUGCUGGCUCUGAGUUCAGAGUCCAGAGGAACCUUGAAAACUGCAUAGAGCUAGGUGAAAAAGCCAAAAAAGAAGACCGCAAG